rnacentral:rRNA from 1 species
ACGAUAGCUAAGACCCAAACUGGGAUUAGAUACCCCACUAUGCUUAGCCCUAAACCUAGAUAGUUAACCCAAACAAAACCAUCCGCCAGAGAACUACUAGCAACAGCUUAAAACUCAAAGGACUUGGCGGUGCUUUAUAUCCCUCUAGAGGAGCCUGUUCCAUAAUCGAUAAACCCCGAUAAACCUCACCAUCUCUUGCUAAUUCAGCCUAUAUACCGCCAUCUUCAGCAAACCCUGAAAAGGAAGAAAAGUAAGCACAAGUAUCUUAACAUAAAAAAGUUAGGUCAAGGUGUAGCCCAUGAGAUGGGGAAGUAAUGGGCUACAUUUUCUACAACUAGAACAUCCACGAAAAUCCUUAUGAAAUUAAGUAUUAAAGGAGGAUUUAGUAGUAAAUUCGAGAAUAGAGAGCUCGAUUGAAUCGGGCCAUGAAGCACGCACACACCGCCCGUCACCCUCCUCAAGUGAUUAGACCCCAAAGAAACCUAUUCAAACCACUA